GGCUCGUUGGUCUAGGGGUAUGAUACCCGCUUUGGGCGCGGGAGUCCCGGGCUCAAAUCCCCGACGAGCCC